UCCCGCUAUAUUUUGCCAAGAUUAUUAUUAUGAAAAGUUCUCCUGAGAUGAGAAGUAAAACGACGGCGUCUUGGAGUUAGAAUUCCCCUUUCGACUCUUUACUCAUGGAAAGCCCUAGGUAAGGAAUCUAUCGUUCUUCCAAAGAGAGAGAGAGAGAGUAAGCGAGUGAGGAAGUUAGGUAACGUCUCCAUGUGUUCGAGUAGCUGUGAUUGAAGCUGUAUCUCAACCAGCACAGCAAGCCGAUGUGUUUGUUGUUUGAGCAAGGACGAUCGGCGACAACAACACGGAGAAAAAGAGGGAUAGACGAGGAACUUUGCUUCUACUUUGAAGCUUGAUUUUAGUCGACUCUGGUCAUGGGCAAAGCAGGUUCUUUAAUUGGGGAAGAAAUUGCGGCAAUGAAAUUAUAAAAGGUCUGAUAAGACCCCAGCUGAUAUGAAAUCAAUUGUGCCCGUGGUUCUGGCUGGAGUUUUGGGUAUAUAUGGUCUGAUUAUUGUUGUGAUUCUCAGUACCAAAAUUGAUCCCAAGGCCAACGUAUUAUCUCUUUGAUGGAUACGCUUACCUCUCUUAUAGUCUUGCUUGUGGCCUCGCUGGUCUAUCUGCUGGUAUGGCAAUUGGCAUCCUAGGGGAUGCAGGUGUUAGGCUUUGCACUAACUAAGGCAGAUAGCUCAAGAGGUUUCUCAAUCUAAUGUGACCAACUGGGGCAGACGACCAGCAACAUUACGAGUAUUGAGUUAGAGGUUAAGCAGGUUAAUAGCUCGUAAUGUUUUACAGUAUGUAAUCCUAUCUGUUAAUUGUUACCAUGUAUUUAGAAUCUAGUUAUAUGAUUGUGACAGGGGUUUUAAUAAGGCUCACAAUGGUUUUAAUGGGCAACUGCUUAAAAGGAUAGGGUCUUUUCUAAAUUCAUUUUAUUUUUACUGCAGUUGCUUGCGUUCUGCUAUUGUUCAUAUAAAAAAGCCAUCUCCCAUGAAUAAGGAACUUAUUGUAUGCAACAAGGAUUGAGAAGAUAGAGCAGUUGGAGAAUGAUCUCAGUCUUAGUGUGAUUUUGUUUGAGACUUAAUACUAUGUUUUUCAAUUAGGGUAGCUAGUUUACAUUCAUUAAAUAUGACAAUGUAUUUUGGAUCAAUAUAUAACAAUUUCGUGAGUGCUAUAAUAUGAAAAAUUACUUCUAUUA